GAUGAAGAACGGAGCGAAAUGCGAUAAGUAAUGUGAAUUGCAGAAUUCAGUGAAUCAUCGAAUCUUUGAACGCACAUUGCGCCCCUUGGUAUUCCGAGGGGCAUGCCUGUUCGAGCGUCAUAUUAACCACUCCCGCUUGCGGGGUCUUGGGCUUCGCCUCCGGGCGGGCCUUAAAAUCAGUGGCGGUGCCGUCGGGCUCUACGCGUAGUAAAUUUUCUCGCGAUAGGGUCCCGGUGGAUGCUUGCCAACAACCCCCAACUUCUUAAGGUUGACCUCGGAUCAGGUAGGGAUACCCGCUGAACUUAAGCAUAUCAAUAAGCGGAGGA
rnacentral:misc_RNA from 1 species